GGGCCGGUAGUCUAGCCCGGCUAUGAUGUCUCGCUUACAACUCGAGGGUCGCUGGUUCAAAUCCGGCCCGGCCCACCA
rnacentral:tRNA from 1 species